AACGAACGCUGGCGGCAGGCUUAACACAUGCAAGUCGAACGCAUCCUUCGGGGUGAGUGGCAGACGGGUGAGUAACGCGUGGGAACGUGCCCUUCAGUUCGGGAUAGCCCAGGGAAACUUGGGCUAAUACCGGAUACGUGCGAGAGCAGAAAGAUUUAUCGCUGAAGGAUCGGCCCGCGUCUGAUUAGCUAGUUGGUGGGGUAAUGGCCCACCAAGGCGACGAUCAGUAGCUGGUCUGAGAGGAUGAUCAGCCACAUUGGGACUGAGACACGGCCCAAACUCCUACGGGAGGCAGCAGUGGGGAAUAUUGGACAAUGGGCGCAAGCCUGAUCCAGCCAUGCCGCGUGAGUGAUGAAGGCCUUAGGGUUGUAAAGCUCUUUCGUCCGGGACGAUAAUGACGGUACCGGAAGAAGAAGCCCCGGCUAACUCCGUGCCAGCCGCCGCGGUAA
rnacentral:rRNA from 1 species